rnacentral:rRNA from 1 species
GACAGAGGUGCCGAGCGUUAGGCGGAAUCACUGGGCUUAAAGCGUGUGUAGGCGGGUCGUUAAGUGUCUUGUGAAAUCCCACCGCUCAACGGUGGAACUGCUGGGCAUACUGGCGAUCUUGAGCCACCUAGGGGCAGACGGAACAAGCGGUGGAGCGGUGAAAUGCGUAGAGAUGUGGAGGAACACCAGUGGCGAAGGCGGCUUUCUGGUCUGUAACUGACGCUGAGGCGCGAAAGCGUGGGUAGCAAACAGG